ensembl:lncRNA
UGGAGCCAGGAUCCACCCCUUCCCAGACCUCAUGUAAGGGUUGGCAGUGGAGGUGAGGGCUUCUUGCUGGAGAUCCCUGCCUACCUGAGGCCUUCUGAAAGUUCUGUUCUCAUCAAGGAAUGCCUGACAAGGAGAAGAUGUGAAUAGGAUGCAGCUGAAAGCUUUUGAGCCCUUGGGAUUUAGAUGUCAAAUGUUUCACAGUCAUUUUGGAUGUGAAAUUGCAGUCAAGCUGACUCCCCGACUGUGCGCCUGUUGUGGCUAUAUGGGGCAGUUCAGGAGGCUGAUGGUACAGCAGCACUUGGUCUUUUUCCUUACCCAGCAGAGCUCUCUGUCAUAUGCUGAGCUUGAGGUGCAAACUGGAGCCGCAUCCAUUUUGAAGCGAAGCAUGUCUCCAUAUGCUUUCUUGAAAAUAAAUGGAUUUUAGCAAAGUAGUGAG